rnacentral:lncRNA from 1 species
GGGGCCCAGGAUCCGGAGCUUCGUGCGGGGCCGAGUCCAGGUUUGGGGCCCGGGAGGCGGGGCCAGUUAGGGCGAGGGUCCCUGGGAUCGUCGGGUCAGGCCUUGGGCUAACGUAGGCACUCUCGCAGUUCCUCCGCCUUCAGGAAGGUCUUUUCAGCAGGGGCCUUACGGGUGCAUGCUUCGGUCCUGGAGGCCUUAUCCUAGCCUCCUCUCCAUCAGCGCCACCCGUCUGGGGCCCGAAAGGAGGGAGCUUUCCCUCUGUCCCCCAGCCUUUGGACUGUCACUAAACAAGCCAUUCGUUCAUCAAAUACUUUUUAAGCGCCUACCAUGUGCCUGACAAGGGAGAUGUAACGGUGAGAAAAACUAGGUGUGGUCCAGGCCCUUCAGGGGCUCAGGUGCUCGUGGAAGAAGUGGACAUUGAAGUACUUAUCACACAAAUGAGGAUAAAAGUACGAUAACGAUAUCUACCACGAAGCUGUUGUUCCCCACCAGAACCAAAUGAGCGCAAGAUCUGACAAAGAAAAAAAAAGGUUCAUCUUUUAUUCCUCCAAACACUUUCAUUUAAAUCAAGAGGAUGGGAUGUGGUUAUUGCUGUGUUUUUAGACAGAAUCAACGGUUUCUGGGUCUGAGAUGUUGCAUACACCUUCUCAGUCCCUGUAUCCUGAGAUGGAGUCACCUGAGAAUCCACAGCAAGUCCUAACCAGGGAUGGGUCUGGGUGAUUAAGGAAGGUUGGCUUCAGAACUGGGCCAGGGGCACUGCUUUGCUUUUGCUGUUUUGAUCAGCUCUCUGCCUGAAGGAGACAAGAAAAACCAACGGGAACAGCUGGGGAAACUGAGUUACAGAGCUUGUCUGCACUGAGUCAUCAGGAGCAAAUGCUAGAUCAGAUAGGGUCUCUCUCUCUGCCACCCAGGCCAGAGUGCAGUUGACGCAGGGCAGGGGAGCCCCGAAGUGGAGCAUAGUGUGUCCGGAACUGGUGGGUUCUUGGUCUCACUGACUUCAAGAAAGAAGCCGCGGACCCUCGCGGUGAGUGUCACAGUUCUUAAAGGCUGCGUGUCCAGAGUUUGUUCCUUCUGAUGCUCGGAUGUGUUCAGAGUUUCUUCCUUCUGGUGGUUUUGUGGUCUCGCUGGCUUCAGGAGUGAAGCUGCAGACCUUCAAGAAAUGAGGCUUCUCCCCAGGACCAGCAUUCCACGAAGGCAGCCCUUUUCUAGAUGGAGAAAACAGAACCUGAAGACACCCGUUUCCCUAAACUGCUCUCGCU